AUGAUGAUAAGUGGCGACAGAAUGAACGGAGUGGUAGAGCCAGCGCAGCGUGUAUGGAACACUUGGGGAAUGCAUAUGCUGGUUCUGCUGAGCUUCACAGUGCAGGCCACGCUCCUCGUUUUUGCGGGAAUCCGGCGGCGCAAAAGUUCAGCCAUAGUACGUGUCAUUGUUUGGUCUGCAUACAUGUUGGCCGACACUGUGGCGGUAUACACCCUCGGCCAUUCCUUCAGAACCAACAGGUCGUCUGAACAUAUGCUUAUGGUGCUAUGGGCGCCGUUGCUACUGGUGCACCUUGGCGGCCAGGACAACAUCACUGCCUUUGCCAUCGUGGACAGCCGGCUGUGGCUACGACACCUGCAGAAUUUGGGCGUGCAGGUUGCUGCAGCCGCCUAUGUCCUCUACCAGUCUUCCAUUCUCAGUCGCCCCGCCUGGCUCCGUGCGGCUACUAUCCUCAUGUUUGUGGUUGGUGUUCUGAAGUACGGCGAGAGAGUAUGGGCCCUGAAGCGGGCCAACGGUCAACCAAUUAGGGGGUUCGUGGAUAUAUUUCAAGAGAAGCAGUGGAAUCAGGGGGCGGACAAGGUGUACCACAAGAUGCAGAUAAAAAUCUCGCAGAUGUACGACGUCUUCUAUGGCAAGAGUCUGGUCAUGUUCUCACUGUACGGCAUCUGCAUCCGUGCCAUCUGCCCGCUGGCCACUGUCGCGGCAUUCCUUCUUUUCCAUCUAGUCGGUGAUAAAGAUGGUUUGAAUAGUAUGGAUGUCACUGCCACGUACAUUCUGCUAGUUGGCGCCCUUGUCCUGGAGAUCACGUCAGCGUUGAGUCUCGUCUGCCCAAAGCUAUUCAGAGGUAGAUGGUGUGGCCGUCAUAUUAAAUCUAUUGAGGAGCUCACCUACUCAUUUUUCGAGAAAGCAGGGAUACAUACAAUGUACUGGUCAGGCUCCAUGGGGCAACUGGACUUGUUUGACAUGUGCCGUCGGGCGAGAAGCAGUCCAGUCGGCAAAAUCGCGACUUGGAUGGGGACGUGGGGCCGGUGGAUUAGGCUGGAUUUCUCUUGGUCCGUCCCCGUCCCGACAGAGAUCAUCCAGAUGUUCAUGGAGAUGGCAAAUGGGAAUUUGGAACAAUAUAAGAUGGAAUCUGAUGAACUACUUGUAACUCUUUUCGCCAAUGAGACAAGAAAGGAAGAGAAGAUACUGGAGUGGCACAUCGGCACACAUGUCUACCUCAAAUGGUACAAGGAGCAACAAGCCAGGGACAUACAUUGCUUUGCCAAGGCAACAGAAGCGCUCUCCAAUUACACAGUUUUCCUGCUUGCAGCACAUCCCCUUCCUUAUAAGGGCGGAUGCACACUGAAGAAUAUGAUGCACUGUGCAAGACACAGAUCGGCGGGUGAGCAUCUAUUGAGGUUACUUUCGGACCGUACCGCUAAGUACCAUGUGGGGGCUGCUUCUUCUGAGCUAGAAUGUUACGGCGAGUUGGAUGUGGAAUCCAUUGAUAGAACAUUUGAGAUUGGGUUUGAGAUUGGCGCAAAGCUGAUAAGCAAUGGCAUGAGUCGUGACAAAUCAUUGGCCCGUUUUUGGGUGGAAAUGCUGAAAAAGGUAGAGCUGGAGUAUGGUGAGGAUUUUCAUGCCAAACAGCUGAGCAAUGGUGGCGAAUUCUUAACCUUCCUUACCAUUCUGGUGCAAAAAAGGCCAAGUGGUUGGGAGCCUCUGAGACGACGUUUGCGAAGCCACAGACCGAUAUAA
rnacentral:rRNA from 1 species